GGACCCUUAGCUCAGUUGGUUAGAGCAUUUCCUUGACAUGGAAGAGGUCACUGGUUCGAGUCCAGUAGGGUCCACCA
rnacentral:tRNA from 1 species